AGUUUUUAGCUGAGCGGUAGGAAAGGCCGGAGCGGAUUUCCAACCGCUCAACUCAACUCACAUGCUCUGAUCCCAUGUGCACAGAGACUGGCGGUACUACAGUUUAAAACUGAUGCCAAGCCCAGAAAGACAAUUCCCACAGACGCUCCCAUAGAGAAGUACAUUUACAACAUUCCUAAAACGAUACUUUGGUUAUCACCUUUGUGCAAAAAAUAUCAAUAUUUUUUUGCAUGAAUUGUCUUUGAGGGUUAUUAUUUUUUAAUCACUCACAGCCGAAGUAAUUAACGUUUUAUAUCCAUGCUGAUACAUGGACGAGAUUGGCUCACAAUGCACACGCAGAAGGAAUGGAACAGUGGAAUCACUCAUGCACUCUCGUCCAGUACCUGCUCUUAGUGAUCUAAUAUCACACAGUCUCAGCCUACCAGUUUAUGAAUCUGGAGACACUGGAGGUGUUUGGGGUGGAGAGGACAGUGGACUCAGUGGAGGACAUCCCAUCCACUUGGCAGUAAGGGCAUGCCGGGCGUGAGCCUACUGUUUCUGUUUCUCGUUCCAAACAGCCUACCAGUUUAUGAAUCUGGAGGUGUUUGGGGUGGAGAGGACAGUGGACUCAGUGGACGACAUCCCAUCCACUUGGCAGUAAGGGCAUGCCGGGCGUGAGCCAACAGCCCAGCUCUGACCAACGGCGAAGUCAGCUCAAAAUUAUUUGAUUGCUUUUGAAUAAAAAUGAAAAAUAGUUUGAAAUAUCGAACAUAUAUUUACAGAAAAUAGAUUUAUGUUUCUGAAUGAUGCACCAUGCUGCUUUGUUGACAACAUGACUGAGCUGCUCAAGAUUACUGUUCCAUUUGAGAAGGGCGCUCCUCCCUCACCGCGUUUUACCUUUCACGUCACUGACCAUAGCUGGGUGCACCGCAGCUCAGGUUAAUAGAACUCCCUCAGUGUUGGCACUGCUACUUCCUACCUGAUGGGGUGUUACAGGAGGAGUUGAAGGGGGAGCAUGCCUCGUACCUGCGGCAGCACCCGGAUUUCCGUGCCAUGAUGGCCGACUUCUUGCAGUUCCUGUUACUACGAAAACCAAGCGACGUCAUCAUGUUCGCCUGUGAAGACUUCUCCCCUGGGGGGCCUCUUCAACACCUCUUCACCUUGAGGACAUACUGUGGCUUCCUCUCAAAGGCCCUUUAGUGAGGACAAUACUAUUCUGGUUAACAGUUGUCACUAGUAUGUACAGUGGCCCUCAAGAUCUAUAGUAUUGUUUUUACAUUUUGUAAUACUGUUUUUACUGUCUACUGUUUUUGUUUGCAUGAGCCGUAUUGAAACAUUCCAAUCAACUCAUGCUCAUCUGACUCAAAAAGUAAGCUAUUGUAUAACUUUGCUGCCCAGAUUGCUUAGGAAUGUAACAGCCUUUGAAUAAUACAAUUAUAUGUGUAUUAAUAGUCCAGACAAUCUUGCAAGGCAGACUAAAGGUCUGCUUAAUAGCUGAAACAGUUCAGCAGAGUUUGUAAAUAUAUUAUGACUGCAUUUUGUGAUGUUUUGGACUUUAGUGAGUGUGUUUUUCGGCUGUUUGGAUACAACAACAAAAAAUCAUAGAAGCAAGCCAAAGUUCAGAGCCGAAGUCCAUGUCCCUUCGUCGGUGAUUGGUUAACAGUAGGGGUUCUUCAAUAAAUUCUUUGUUGUCAUUCAA